rnacentral:lncRNA from 1 species
CUCACACUCUGCUGGUAUUGAUGGAUGGUAUAAGUCUCACUCUGCUGGUAUUGAUGGCUGGUAUAGGUCACACUCUGCUGGUAUUGAUGGAUGGUAUAGGUCUCACACUCUGCUGGUAUUGAUGGAUGGUAUAGGUCACACUCUGCUGGUAUUGAUGGAUGGUAUAGGUCUCUCUCUGCUGGUAUUGAUGGCUGGUACAGGUCUCACUCUGCUGGUAUUGAUGGAUGGUAUAGGUCUCACUCUGCUGGUAUUGAUGGAUGGUAUAGGUCUCACUCUGCUGGUAUUGAUGACUGGUAUAGGUCUCACUCUGCUGGUAUUGAUGGAUGGUAUAGGUCUCACUCUGCUGGUAUUGAUGGAU